CUCUAUCCGCCUUGGGCGCAAAAAUUUUCCCAUAUAGGGAUGUUCAUACAUGCUUGGUUCCAAACCCGAAGGUUUUUAAUCUUGCUCAACAAUAAUAUGUAAUUCAACAUAUAUAUAUACGGGUAAUUGACAAAGGUGUAUCAACAUGUGAAUAAAUGCCAUGAUUAUCCAAGUGGGGACACUUGUAUAACCAUUUAGAAAUCAACUUAACAGAAUAUAUAUCUGAGCUAACAUGUUGAUAAUCAAAGCGUACAUAAUCUGUACAGGAAUAGAAUAAUUCUGAAACUUCUUACUCAUGUCCAUUGCAUAAAGAAAAUGCAAAGGUAGGAUACUUGCCUGAUUCGCUGAUUACAAAUCUCAACUUAGGUUUUAUCUCUUUAUCACAACCUAUCAAUAAUCAGAUCAUUCGUUCGAUUAGAACAAUAUAUCUUAACACAUAGUACUGUCUAUUACAGUCAGCACAUAGUCUAAUCAC
rnacentral:lncRNA from 1 species